ACGCGCCUCCCGUCGACCGUCCAUGGAGUAAGAAAGAUAGUCGUGUUGCUUCGUACCCUUCUCUUCCGUCUUUUACUGACCUACGUGGAAAUCGCGCGUAUUUCUCUCCAACGAACACCGGUAUGUUACGUAGUUACGCAGUGUAUAGUAUACAUACGCGAACGUCCAAUGCAAUAGAGUAAUGCGUGGAAAGGGAUGCUACACGCAACUUGUUUCUAUCUUCUCGCUGUUUGUCCGAUCGAAAGUGUUUUGUGUUCGAACUCGCGUGUGUUUCGUGCUCUCUCAUCCAUAAGGACUUUGUAGCGUUCGAGACAUCUUAUACCUCGACAUCGAUGCCCAUCCUCGCCUGUACGAUGAAAUCUUAUUCUUACUGGGACGAUCAUCCUGAUCUAUAAAUGCUUGCAAAAGCGGACCAGAGAAUUCGAACCAUCUGCGCCUCGGAUGAACGAUAUUUCGAGUAAUUAAGACCGUCUUCGAGAACCAGUAUCAGUCUCCAAUUACGCAUUCGUCUCGAUUCCGGUAGAUGUAUUCGGUGCAGAUCCGGUAGAUGGAAUGAAAAUUCACGGUUUACAUCGCCAACACAACUCGCAUUUAACCACCGUUUCGAAAACGAUGUCACAAUGUCGAUCGCAUUUUUCUCCGCAACGACGAAACGCGGUGAGUUAAGAGUGAAUUAUAACGGAGUGGAAAAACAAAGGGCAGACCGACGAUAGGGUCGAGGGACGGAGGGCGUCGAGGCGUGUACAGAGUAAAGAUCCCUCGCGAACCUUUGUUUCUAGCUGGCUUGUCGCCUGUUUGCUUCCGCGACAGGAAAUUAACAGCUCGGUUCCGCUCUCUACGCAUCCCGUACCGUAUUGUUCGCCGUGAAAGUAAUCUGGGAUUUGUCACGCUCGUGUGUGCCCCGAUAUUAGACAAUCGUGCGACGACUCGACGAUUCGACGAUCGCUUCGCGACGGAAAUUCACCGAUUCCUUUGCAAGUUAACGUGUUCCGUGGCCGCAAUAAUUCUCGCGGGUCACCAGAGCUACCAGUACCAUAAUCCCGAAAAACGACUACCGCUACGAAGCAGUAGAAACUAGCAGAAACGUCAGACCUAUAUUCAGAAAAGUAGUCGAAUUGUCUCGGUAGCCGCAAAGCCACGGGAAAGAAAACGAUAGCGAUGAAUUGGCUGCAAGAGGGUUGCUGGGCGGAGUGGCUGCAAGAGGGCCAAUAAGGAAAAUGCCUGGUCGAAUGGCGGAGCAUCGUGCUCCGCUACACGGUCCAUAUAAGUGUCCGUCCCGAGAGAAGCCGGUCGCGGUACAUCAGAUAAGAAAACCUGGUCUCGGAAUAGAACCCUAUUAUGUUUGCUAUAAGUGGCCGUGGCCAAGGCUACGAGGAGAUGCGAGAGCGGGUCCUGCAGGCGGACCAACAGGGAGAUAAGAAAAAUGCCUGGGCCGGCCCUCGUCGUAACCGCAGAAGUUGUAAUUAUACAGUGAUAUUACUACCGAAAAGAAUGAGGGACGACGGAAGCUGGUAUACGUGGAAGUGGUGUUCCCGGAGACCGCCGGCAUUUUACCCUGAAUCUGGAUGAAGAUACGUCGUCGCCAGAUAACAGCCGCCACGAGAACGAGUAUUUAUUGUUGGCCCCAGAAGCCGGUUAAAGGAUGGAACGAAAGAAUUCCCUGAUGAACGGUGGAAUGAAAUCGUAAUUGGAUGAAACUCCUUUUGUAGCGGCCACUUCCACCCUCCACUCCCCUUUAUCUGGCCAUCAUCGCCCUGUCUCUGUCUGCCCCUUCGGAUUCUGGCAAGUAAAUUGCAUUAAUUAAAGCAUAUGCGAAACACGCCGGUGUCCUAAUGAACUGAAUCCGGGUAAUUAAUCGUAACGACACAUUGUUAUUCGUGACAGACACAGAAGCCGCUGUGUAAUUCUUACGCGUCCGCGAUCGAAAUCGGAUUGCAACGGGGCGCAACGGCUGCGCCAGAUUUAAUUAGCGACAUUAACGAGAGAAAGCGUUGACGUAAG